rnacentral:rRNA from 1 species
CCAAUAGCGUAUAUUAGUGUUGUUGCGGUUAAAAAGCUCGUAGUUGAAUUUCGGGAUUGGGAUAUAUCGGUCAUGGCUUUAGGGACAUGAAUCGGUGUGUGGUCAAUCCUCACCUUCUGGUGAAUCGGGAUGCUCUUGGGUGUUUCGACGAACUAGGACUUUUACUUUGAAAAAAUUAGAGUGUUUAAAGCGGGCAUUUUUGCUUGAAUACAUUAGCAUGGAAUAAUAGAAUAGGACGGCAUGGUUCUAUUUUGUUGGUUUCUAGGAUCACCGUAAUGAUUAAUAGGGAUAGUUGGGGGCAUUAGUAUUCAAUUGUCAGAGGUGAAAUUCUUGGAUUUAUUGAAGACUAACUACUGCGAAAGCAUUUGCCAAGGAUGUUUUCAUUAAUCAAGAACGAAAGUUAGGGGAUCGAAGACGAUCAGAUACCGUCGUAGUCUUAACCAUAAACUAUGCCGACUAGGAAUCAGACGAUGUUAAUUUUUUAAUGACUCGUUUGGCACCUUACG